CGCGUAGGCCGUUGAGUUAGUUAAUUGUGAAAUCCCAAAGCUUAACUUUGGAACUGCAAUUAAAACUGCUCGACUAGAGUUUGAUAGAGGAAAGCGGAAUACAUAGUGUAGAGGUGAAAUUCGUAGAUAUUAUGUAGAACACCAGUUGCGAAGGCGGCUUUCUGGAUCAACACUGACGCUGAGGCGCGAAAGUAUGGGGUAGCAAAGA
rnacentral:rRNA from 1 species